rnacentral:rRNA from 1 species
GACGGAGGGUGCUAGCGUUGUUCGGAAUUACUGGGCGUAAAGGGCGCGUAGGCGGCCUGGUCAGUCGGAUGUGAAAGCCCGGGGCUCAACCCCGGAACGGCAUCCGAGACGGCCAGGCUGGAGACCGGGAGAGGAGGGUGGAAUAGCCAGUGUAGAGGUGAAAUUCGUAGAUAUUGGCUGGAACACCGGUGGCGAAAGCGGCUCUCUGGCCCGGUUCUGACGCUGAGGCGCGAAAGCGUGGGGAGCAAACAGG